UACAGAGACCUCAAGCGUUAUCCGGAAUCAUUGGGCGUAAAGCGUACCGAUAGGUUGUUUAUUAAGUCUUGGGAAAAAGCCGGAAGCUCAACUUCCGCGUUUGCUUAAGAUACUAAUAGACUAGAGGGGCAAAGAGGUGCUUGGAACGAACGGUGUAGUAGUGAAAUGCGUUGAUAUCGUUCGGAACACCGAAAGCGAAGGCAGAGCACUGGGUGCCACCUGACACUGCUAGGACGAAAGCGUGGGGAGCGAAUGGG
rnacentral:rRNA from 1 species